rnacentral:lncRNA from 1 species
UCCUGCCUCAUCCUCCCGAGUAGCUGGGACUACAGGUGCGUGCCACCACACCCAGCUAAUUUUUGUAAUUUUAGUAGCGACAGGGUUUCAGCAUGUUGGCCAUGAUGGUUUUGAUCUCUUGACCUCGUGAUCCACCCACCUCGGCCUCCCAGAGUGCUGGGAUUACAGGCAUGAGCUGCCGUGCCUGCCCUGGGGAUUUGUGAUGGAUGACCUGGGCUUCUCACCUAGCCUCAUUCAUCAGGAGGCACCUUGGCAUCUGGUCUUUCUGGCAGCCAAAAUUUACUUGUUGGGUGGGGUAUGUGUAUGUAAAAGGAAGGAAGGGUGGAGUGGAGAAAGGAGAGGUUUGUUCCAGUUCCCUUAUCCUCCCUGAAUCCCAAGAAGGACCUUGGGCUCUAAAGCCCACCAGGAAAAACCCCAUCCACGGUCUGACAUUUAGAAAUGUAUUGGCUAGAAUAAAAGAACUGUCAAUUUCAAAACACGAAAAACCACUGGGAGAUCAGGUACUUCCUGCAAACAUUCCCACACAGUGACUCCUGGCAUGGGAGAAAAAGCCUGCCUUGUUGUUCUAUUAAUUUAGCGCCAACAGCUGUUAGAUCUAAGGCCUUCAAGGUUCUCGGCAAAAAUGAAACUCAUCCUCAGGAACUCCUCUGUGAAGUAUCAGUAAUGAACCAUGGAGGGAAUGAAGGCUAAAUGAAGAUAAAAAUAUCUCCACCGGGCCAGGGUGUUUUUGCGCUUCAAUCCCAAAAGUACUAGCGCAUGAAACCUCCACACACACACACACACCCUUUUUUUUUUUUUUUUUUUUUUUGAUGCAGAAACCCUCCAGGCAUUCUUGCCUCCCGUCCGUCACUCCCCACCCACCUUCACUUUCCAGUCCUAGGAAAUCUACUUCCUAAUCUCCUCUUUCUCAUCACUCCUCUUCUAUGUGCCUCCCCCAGCAUCCUUGAUUCUGGGAUUCCGCUUGUGGCCUCUUACUGUGCUCCCCGCAUCCAUGUGUGCACUCGUAGAAUCCAGCCCCAGCCUCUCAAACACACACCUGACCUUGCUUCAACCCUCCUGCUGCUCACAGCGUGGCCUUUAAAACCCCCAAUCCUCUAGUCCACCUGUUUCUCCAGCUCGCCCUGCUGCUCAAACCACGCCCUGGUGACCCCGUUUUGCUGGAGCUGCUCCUUCUGCCAACUCCUGCCAUUCUUAGGGGAAACCUUCCCCAACUGGGUACACCAGGACUACAAGUCUGAAAAUUCAACCCUCCUCCCCGGUGCCAAGAACAGCCUGCAAGACUCCGUAAGUAGAAGCAUUUUGCUGAACAGAUUAGAUUUUGAAACUACUUUUGCAUCCUUUUCAGCCUCUUUGGUCUCCGUCAUCAAUCACCGGGAAUGGUUUUUACCUGAAACUGAUCUUGCUGGAGAAUUAACUGGGUUUGAGGGGAAUAAAUUUUCCAGAGCACUUGCACAAUUUCUAUCACUUGGGCCGUAUUCCCAGCCUCUGGUACAUGGUGUGAGAGCUGUAUUCUGUCCUCUAAAAAAGACCAGGCCCACUUGGUGGACAGAUCCGGGGCACAGUGGUUGGUGACAAGGCUGCAAAUUGGUCCCUCUGCGCCCUGGUGUGACGGCCCCAGGUUGUGGGAGCACGUGAAAGAAGUCGAAUGUCAUUGGGUUGUCUUCCUAGUAAGGACAGGAAUGCUUACUGAGUGCUCUGGGGUCCUGCAUCAUGGCAUUGGGCUUGGAGUCACUGGGGUACAUAACCUGGGAUGAUGGCAGUGAAUUCCCGUGUAUCCCUCAUCUGUCACCCACGAAUAACAGUGGCCAGGAAGUUCCCUGCACAGAUACUUCUGAAAUCACUCAUGCACCGCCUCUCGGCAAUGCAAUCAUGGUGUGGUGCAUUCCCCAAGUGUGACCUGUUUGUGUAUUGUUGGUGACCUUGGGAUGGCACCUUCAAGUGGCACACAGACUGUUGCUGUUUGGUAUUCAUCAUUAUGUAUUUCAUUUUAUGAUGAUUUUCUCUUUAUAGCCAUCACUACUAGCUUUCCGUUAAUGGCAGUGGUAUGAAAUUUCCUUCAAAAAAAGUUUAACAUAAAGUGAGUUGACUCAAAGACAAAAAAUGAUAUGGAAAUAACAGAAUGGAAAUCGUAAUGUAGGUAUGGUGAGACAUUGUGAUAGUGGUAAGUGAAAGGCUGAGAGUAAAUUCUUUUAUCAAAAGAUGUUCAUGGCUAGGCCUAAUGGAUCACACCUAUAAUCCCAGCCCUUUGGGAGGCCAAGGUAAGAGGAUUGCUUGAGCUCAGGAGUUGGAGACCAGCCUGGGCAACAUCUCUACAAAAAAUAAACAAAUUAGGCCGGGCACGGUGGCUCACACCUGUAAUCCCAGCACUUUGGGAGGCUGAGGUGGGCUGAUCAAGAGGUCAGGAGAUCGAGGCCAUCCUGGAUAACAUGGUGA